GAUGAACGCUGGCGGCGUGCCUAAUACAUGCAAGUCGAGCGAACAGAUGAGGAGCUUGCUCCUCUGACGUUAGCGGCGGACGGGUGAGUAACACGUGGAUAACCUACCUAUAAGACUGGGAUAAUUUCGGGAAACCGGAGCUAAUACCGGAUAAUAUAUUGAACCGCAUGGUUCAAUAGUGAAAGACGGUUUUGCUGUCACUUAUCGAUGGAUACGCGCUGCAUUAGCUAGUUGGUAAGGUAACGGCUUACCAAGGCAACGAUGCGUAGCCGACCUGAGAGGGUGAUCGGCCACACUUGAACUGAGACACGGUCCAGACGCCUACGGGAGGCAGCAGUAGGGAAUCUUCCGCAAUGGGCGAAAGCCUGACGGAGCAACGCCGCGUGAGUGAUGAAGGUCUUCGGAGCGUAAAACUCUGUUAUUAGGGAAGAACAAAUGUGUAAGUAACUAUGCACGGCUUGACGGUACCUAAUCAGAAGACCACGGCUAACUACGUG
rnacentral:rRNA from 1 species